UGAGUAACCUGCCCUUCACUCUGGGAUAACUCCGGGAAACCGGGGCUAAUACUGGAUAUGACUCGAACAGGCAUCUGUUUCGGGUGGAAAGAUUUUAUUGGUGGAGGAUGGACUCGCGGCCUAUCAGCUUGUUGGUGAGGUAAUGGCUCACCAAGGCGACGACGGGUAGCCGGCCUGAGGAGGGCGAUCGGCCACACUGGGACUGAGACACGGCCCAGACCUCCCGUAACGGGGAG
rnacentral:rRNA from 1 species